rnacentral:rRNA from 1 species
AGGGUGUGAACGCUGCAGACUUGGUGUUGGAAAUCCUUCGAGGGUAUUCAGUGCCGGAGAGAAGUUGUUAAGUCUGCUACUUGGGGAGUACGUCCGCAAGGAUGAAACUUAAAGGAAUUGGCGGGGGAGCACCGCAACGGGAGGAGCGUGCGGUUUAAUUGGAUUCAACACCGGGAAACUCACCAGGGGAGACUGUUACAUGAAACCCAGACUAAUGAUCUUGGUUGAUUUUCAGAGAGGAGGUGCAUGGCGUCAGUGACU